rnacentral:rRNA from 1 species
UACGUAGGGGGCAAGCGUUGUCCGGAAUUAUUGGGCGUAAAGCGCGUGUAGGCGGUUCGUUGUGUCUGUGGUGAAAGCCCCGGGCUUAACCUGGGAAUGGCCAUGGAAACUGGCGAGCUGGAGUGUGGCAGAGGGGGGUGGAAUUCCGCGUGUAGCAGUGAAAUGCGUAGAGAUGCGGAGGAACACCGAUGGCGAAGGCAGCCCCCUGGGCUAACACUGACGCUCAGGCACGAAAGCGUGGGGAGCAAACAGG